UGCCAGCAGCCGCGGUAAUACGGAGGGUGCAAACGUUGUUCGGAAUUACUGGGCGUAAAGCGCGUGUAGGCGGCUUGAUAAGUCGGAUGUGAAAGCCCGAGGCUCAACCUCGGAAUAGCGCUUGAUACUGAACUGCUUGAGACCGGAAGAGGGUAGUGGAAUUCCCAGUGUAGAGGUGAAAUUCGUAGAUAUCGGGAAGAACACCAGUGGCGAAGGCGGCUACCUGGUCCGGAUCUGACGCUGAGGCGCGAAAGCGUGGGGAGCAAACAGGAUUAGAUA
rnacentral:rRNA from 1 species